AGCGGUAUGGUGUAAUGAUGCACACCGGGUCUCCUUACAGUCUCACAAAUAUUGGCAUCCCCGAGGUCCUUGUUCGAAUCAAGGUACUGCUC